rnacentral:misc_RNA from 1 species
GCAUAUGGGGGCUUGCCCCCGAUGGCAGACUGUCAGUCACUGUAUCUUUGGCUGACCACCGCUAUCGGGGGCAAGCCCCCUCCCAC